UAUAUAUAUAUAUAUAUACACUGCAGUGUAUGAAGGUGUAGUAUGAUAGUCUCUAUGUGAUUUUCCCUGGUCUGUUUGUAAAUGUUCCUUUAGUUUAGAGAUUUUUUGGGAAACUGUAAGCAGAAACAAUUACAUGUUUCACACUAACUGGGGUAAAUAUUUGACUUGAAACCACAGGUAGAAUACUUGACCAGGUUGAGAAAUGAUAUCAGAAAAAUAUCAUAUAACUAACUAACUACUGGGGAGAGUUGUGUAAUCGUGGUAAUCCAUCAUCAUCCUCCCCAAAGUUCCUUGAAGUACUCAUUUAUUGCUUAAUUUGUUGAAAAGGAAAAGUAACUGAGAAGCCUGCAUGUUGUACUUUAUUUAUAUUUAGGUUUGAACCAAAGUCCAUAGCCUGGCAUGCUCUACAACCAAAAAUAUUUAAAACAAAAUUCACUCCAAUUAAAAUUGAUUUUUAAAUGAAUCUGACUUUAUAGUUGAAGUAAAAACUAUUAAUACAUUGCUGAAAUAUGCAAGUGUAUUGUUACACCAGAAAUUGCCAGGUAUUCCCAAGCAAAGCAUACUAAUAUAUGAUAGAAAGUACCACAUAAGGUACUAAAAAAUAGACCGUAUGUAGCAUCCUCUCAUUAUGCUGUUGUCUUCUGCAACAAAUGACAUAAACACCAUUCUAUAAAGAUAAAAUUAAAGAUAGCCAUCCUAUGUAUACCUGGAUCUUUUAGGGAUGUGAUUAUCUGUAAACAUUUUAUUAAUAUCUUUUUUUCAGGAUCCUUGACUUCUAAUAUAGGUAACCAUAACUAUAUUUUGUAAUUAACACAUUUUAGAUGGUUAUGAUAGCUGAUAGUACAGGAAGCAUGUGAGAUAUGCUGAGAAUUACAACCAAUUACUGUAGGUGAAUUAUGAGAACAAAAACCUACUGAACUAACAAUGUUUGAUGGCUUCAGAAGUGUGGCUUUCUUUUCAGAGUUCUGGUUCACUGCGUCAUUUUAUAAAGAGGGUUGGGGUUUAGAAAUAUGGCUUUAUACUAACUCUGACCAUUUAGUUUACUGAACAAUUUUUGUAAUUGACAAAUAUUUCAUAUCUUUGAAGGAUAGUAAGGGAAAAUAUGCACUUCAUAUCUUUGAAGCCAGGAGAGAAAGGAAAAAUAUGCAGUUCAUGUCUUUGAAGCCAGAAGGUCAGAAAGGAAAAAAACAUGAACUAUUACUUUACGAUGUUUAUACCUAAUCAUUGUAUAUAUAUAUAUAUAUAUAUAUAUAUAUAUAUAUAUAUAUAUAUAUAUAUAUAUAUAUAUAUAUAUAUAUAUAUAUAUAUAUAUAUAUAUAUAUAUAUAUUGAUACAGGAUAUUUUUAGUAACUUAUUUGGGUAUCAGUGAUAUUAUGUCACUGAAACUUGUUACAUGCCAAUCAAUUCAAGUUUUUCAUGAAUACCACCUUGAUUGUUUCUAUGUCAGUGUUAUGCACAUUUGCAGAGGUAGUGCAAUUUUCACCUCAAAUUCAUACACCUACAUAUUUUAUUUCACAUUAAGCUUUAACCUGUUUGAAAAUAUAGGCAUAUUUUUUCAAGUGAAUAUAAUUAAAAUAAGAAUUUGUUGAAUAUAGGUUAUCAGCUGUCUUUUACAAUUUAUAAUAGUCCAACAGGUAUAAAGAGGUAAUGUUAGUCCUUCACUACGGUUGGGCCAAAACAGUGCCCCGCGCCGUAUCCGAGAUCGCCGCGCGCGCUGAAUUUCAAAUGUCGCUGUUGAAUAUAACAAGUUUUCAGCCAUAAAUUCAACAUAAUCAUCAUGUAUUAUAUAUGAAAACAUGCAGAAUUAAAUGGUGCACAUAAAGAAACUCACUACGGCCGGGCCAAAAGUGCGCCCUGUGCCGUAUCCAGGAUCGCCACGUGCGCCAAAUUUCAAAUGUCGCUAUUGAAUAUAACAAGUUUUCAGCCAUAAACUCAACAUAAUCAUCAUGUAUCAUAUAUGAAAACAUGCAGAAUUAAAUGAUGCACAUAAAGAAACUCACUACAGCUGGGCCAAAACAGCGCCCUACGCUGUAUCCAAGAUCGCCGCGCACGUCAAAUUUAAAAUGUCACUAUUGAAUAUAACAAGUUUUCAGCCAUAAACUCAACACAAUCAUCAUGUAUUAUAUAUGAAAACAUGCAGAAUUAAAUGGUGCACAUGGAGAAACAUAAAUUAAUUGAUAUAGAGAUAAAAUAACUCGUAUAUUGACUAAAGCGAGCCAGGACGCAAUAUGCGUGUCCUUGGAUAUGGUACGGGGCACACAAGGAUGCAGUAUACGCAUCCUCGUGUUGAAGGGGUUAAUCUAAAAUACUAAAAUCAAUGUAUCUCAUUUUUUACAAGUUUGUAUAAGGGUCUUAGGGCUUUUUAAGUAAUUUAUCUCACCAAUCACAAGAUUGUGUAUUAUUUUGUCUUGUUUUAAGUUAUCAGAUAUAUAAAAAUGUAAAGAAGUGCAAUUUUGUAUUAUAGCUAUUAUUAUUAUUAUUAUUAUUAUUAUAAUUGUUUAAUAGUUAGGUUAACUAUAGUGGACCCUUGAUUUUGGAGACUAAGGGCCGCUUUCACAGUCAUUUUAUUUGUUUUGAUCGUUACCAAAGGCAGGGAUCGCCGCUAUAGUAUUUCCACGUAAAACUGGCUGAUGAGGUAGUGGCGGCGGCGGGAUUAGCCUAGCCCCGCAACUUACCACACACUCUCAACACCUCUCGCUUCCUCUGCAGCUGCCACUACCCCAUAGGCCAGUUUCACGUGGAAAAUUAUAACAUCGAUCGCGGUUCUUAGUAACGAUCAAAACAAACAAAGUGACUGUGAAAGUGGCCCUAAAAGGUGGGAUGGAUUGUCUGGAAAGUUCAGGAGUCCAAAUGAUCUGAAUCAUGUUAGAGAAAUUACAAAUAUGAUCUUGAGCGAAAACUAAACUUCCCCACGGUGAACACCGCCACACCAACUAGCCUGGAUUGCUGAUGCCAUUUUUGUUUAUGUGGAGCUGGUUGGUACAUUCGCCAUUUGGUAAAUGGUUGUUUUGAAUCCACUGCUGGAUACAAACUUUAAAUCAAAUAGUUGCAAUGAUGGAUAAUUGUUAAUACUAAAUGAAUUAUCCAUCCCAUCACUGUCACAUACAAGAAAAACAGUACUGCGGUUGUGUGUGCUAUCUGAUGAGUCCUGUGAAUUGUGGUCAGCGAUUAGAAGAAAAAAGAUUAUGUAAGGGAUAUUUCAGGAAGUUUGGGUUCAGGAAGUCAAGGGUCUACUGUAGUAAUAAUUAUGUACCUGUUAGGUAAUUUAAUACAUCUGUGCAGAAUGGUUCCCUUCUUAUCAUUUUGUUCAAAUCUAUAAUUACAGUGACAUGGUGUAUCAUUUAUAUGUUUGGAUAUGGUACUUAUGCAUACAGUAAGCUUUAAAUUUUGGGACAAGCACUAUCAAAAACCCAUUACUGCCUGUCAGUACUUGUUUAAUUUUCAUCUAGUGAAAGUGGACUGAUAAAUGUGAAGCUUUCCAGAUGCACUGAAAAUGUACUCAGUAAAAUAUACAAGAAAAAUACAGAUGUGUUGUUCCUGUGGCAAUGAAGAUAUUUCAAAUUAAGGUACUUCAUAUGAAAUUUACAUAUGAAUAGCUAAUUCUGGGUCAGGCUUAGCCAAUAUGACUGGCUUUUGCAUUGUAGCCUAUGUUUACCAAUGAUGGUACCGGAUCUUGGUCAGAGUUGUUACUAUACUUUUAAGCAAGUUAGUGCCAAGGUGGCACAAUCAGUGAAAUGACUAUGCCAGUAGGUGACAAGCCUUACAUACAACUCAACCAUUAUGGGCUACUGUGCAUGUGUAGACUUAAUCCCCUUCUGCCAGACCCCUAUCUUCACUUAUAUGAUGGCACAUGUCACAUGGGGGAAAAUGGGGACAAAAUUCAAGUAUUGUUCAUGUAAACUGGCUUUGGAAGUACCAUAGACCCAUCUGAUGCAUAUGGGAUGGUGGGGGUGCAUGUUGACGAAGAGUAGCAGUGGACUCAGGAAAAUGAUCAAAAUGGUGUACAAAGGCUGUGGAAUAAGGUGACUACUUUCAUUCCACAUUUCCGGCACCUUUUUCUCUCCACACCUGGUUGAAUACCUCAGUCAUCCUAUCAAUUACCUUGAUCCUGACCUCCAUUCAUAUAGUAUGGGAUAUCAUCUGGUCCUGCUGCCUUACCUUUUUGCCUUUUCAUACACUCUCUGACUACCUCCUUACUGAUCCUUUCAUUCAACUCAUCUGCGUCCUUUCUCUUGUGUACUAAACAUGCUUCUCUCACAUCAGACACUUCACCUACAUCUCCAAUAUCUUUCCUAAACUCUCUGACUCUUAUUUUCUCAUUGUCUGGAACAAAGUCACCAUUUACUUUCAAGCUUUCUACAUUUUAACUGUCUGACAUCCCUUCUCUCAUGAACCUGUAGCAUUCACAACCACCUUCAAUCCAUUUUUCUCUUAGUGACUAGAUUACAUUUUCCUCACUUCAUUUUUGCAUUCAUGAUCUUCCACUUUGUCAAUUACUGUUAUUUCACAUAUGCAUUCUGAUAUUUUAACCUCUGUUUCUGUACUUUUACCUUUUUUUUCCUCCCCCAUCUGCAGUCUAUUCAGCCUUUUUCUUUCCUCUUUGAUAUCCCUGCUAUCUUAUUUUACUAAGGUUUACAUAUAUGCUCUUUUUCUUUCAUUUAUUCUUUCAAAUCCUAUAUGGUAGCCUGCAGCACUUCUCCCAUACAUUCUCUAUCAAAAUUUCAUUCAGAUCAUCCACCACCUGUAAAUUUUCAACCUUUCAGCUUCUUUCACUCCAUAUGUAUGAAAGUUGUGAUACAGCUUUUGCUUUUUUCCUUUUUUUCCUUUUUGUAUGGGUGUAGGAGGUCAAGAAAAUGUAGGUAGGGACAGGUGAGUUGUGACAGGGAAGUUAAUUGUGAUAGUACAGCUUUUUCUUUUUCAUUUUCGGGAGUGUACGUAUGGAAGUUGUGAUACAGCUUUUUCAUUUUUCAUUUUUGUCUGGGUGUUGGAGGUCAAGAAAACGUAGGUAGGGACAGGUGAGUUGUGACGGAAGUUAAUUGUGAUACAGCUUUUUCUUUUUUCCUUUUUUAUCCUUUUUGUCUGGGUGUUGGAGGUCAAGAAAGUGUGUAAUAAAGACAGCAAGGAGAGGCGCGAGUGGGAACGAGGAGUCACUAUCCGACACCAGGAGGACCAAGGCAUGAAUUAAGAGGGUCUUCAACUUUCAAAUAUUUACCCUGAAGAACCAAAAGACGACAUUACAGGAAUUCUGCAUGAUAAAAGAAUAAAAAGGAGAGAAGAAGGAAACCAAAAGGAGUGCCGUUGUGAGAAAUGCCUCCCCGUGGAAAUAAGUCGCGCUGAUGUCCACUACGCAUGCGCACUGGGGAAUAAUCGGCAGAAAAACACAUUAAUUUGCCUUAUCUUGUCCUAUUUUCACAAUAAGUGAUCUUUGUGAGGGUUGAUAUUGCCUGCCAGAAAACAACACAUUAUACCAACAGCCCAAAAGAAGCAAGAACUGAGUGAACAUCAAAGUGAGGUAAUUCUAAUGUUUCCCCCAUUCGUUUGUUAUAAAGCCGCCUCUGGAUUAAAAAUGUUUGUAUGAUGUUUGAUUGUUGUAUUAGAGUCGAAAUGGGACAAGUAAACGAUAGCGGUGAGUGAAAUAGAUAAUAAGUAAAGUUGAAUCUCUCCUACGACCCCGUUACCAAGGCGACACUCGAGACUCAACUUCUAGCGCCAAAACAAUGGUCCCACAGCCUAACCAGCCCCCUAAAACACCCCAGAAGAAGAAGAGGGAAAAGAACGUAAGCUGAAGCAGGCCAUCCAGCAGGUAUCAGAGAGUGACUUAAGCGUGAGCGAGAAGGAGAACAGUGCCUCUGUGGUGUUGUGGUUAGCAUGCCUAGCUACAAAUCUGUGGGCCUGGGUUUGAAUCCUACCCUGGGCAGUCAGCAUGCUGCCAACCUAACCGUUCAUCCUUUGUUCUGGAGUUGGUCAAUAAAUGGUCACCUAGAAAAGGCAAUCUGUGGGAACCGAGAUGCCACACUUGCCCAGUGUCUUGGAGUAAUGGGUUUUCACCUACCCCAGGCUCAAGGCCCAAUGAGAUGGAAAUAAGCACUGAGGCUACACACAGCUUGAGUGUAUACUCCCAAUUUUCCCUUCAUGGAUGACAGUGCACCUACUGGAGAAUGUGUUGAGGGAAACCAACUUUACCUUCAUGGAUGACAGUGCACCUACUGGAGAAAAUGUGGAAGAAACUUUCCUAAAAUCCACCAAGAACUUUUGUCUAAAAAUAAAAACAGGGGAGCUGGAUAGAGUGUGAAUUGGUUCAGAAGUACAACAUGAAGAUACUGCUCUUCAUUGAUCGUAUCAGUUGCAAAUUCAACUUCCAGGAGGUAGGGCAGAGUGCAUGGGCUCCUGGAGGAUUUAGAAGAGGAUAGCAGAGGCGGAUCCUUCAGGUGGCUGGAGCAGGCCAUGUGUAGGAUGUUGGCUGGGAGGCUGCAAUCCACUGAUGAUACAUCUCAACCAUAUAUCAUCAAUACUACUGAAGAAGAGACAAGUAAAGUCAUUGUAUGAACAAAACUGUUGACUCACCUGGCUGGCAGGGACCCUCACACACCCGCACAGGGAUGGGCAUGUCGCCGGGGCAGUCGCUGGGCU